ensembl:lncRNA
AGACAGGAUGUCAACAGAGGGAGCGAGGGUAAGGAGCCCAGUGGAACAGGACCCAUCCUAGGUGUAAGCCAGCCUGGAUCCAGGGCACCACGAUGGGUGCAGGUGACCUUCGCCAGCCUUCAUCUCUCCCAUCUCUCUCGCCUCCCAUACUGCCACCUACAGAUCCCCGCCCUCCUUUAUAUGAGAGGAAGUGGUGGCCCCUGGAGGGGAAGGACAUGGCCCACAGGCACCUGGUCUCCCAGCACUCCACCCAUGCUAGGGGAUACAGGUUCGAUCCCUGGUCCUCGAGAAGGUCCCACAAGCCGCAGAGCAGCCAAGCCCGUGCACCACAACUACUGAGAAGGUGCCCUAGAGCCCGGGAGCCACAACUAUUGAACCCAUGAACUGCACCUCUGGAAGCUGGCACACCCUAGAGCCUGUGCUCCGCAACAAGAGAAGCCACCGCGAUGAGAAGCCCACCCACCAUGAUGAGCGAGUAGCCUCCACUCUCCACCACGAGAGAGCCUGCUCGCAGCAACAAAGACCCAGCAUAACCAAAAAUAUUUUUUAAAUGUUAAAAAUAAG